rnacentral:tRNA from 1 species
GUUUUUUUAGUAUAAAAGUAUAAUUGCUUUCCAAGCAAAAGGUUUAACUAUAAAGUUAAAAAAAAUA